UACAGGGGGGGGCAAGCGUUUGUUCGGAAUUACUGGGCGUAAAGGGCCAGUAGGCGGCCAACUAAGUCCGACGUGAAAUCCCAAGGCUUAACCUUGGAACUGCGUCGGAUACUGGAUGGCUUGAAUUCGGGAGAGGGAUGCAGAAUUCCAGGUGUAGCGGUGAAAUGCGUAGAUAUCUGGAGGAAUACCGGUGGCGAAGGCGGCAUCCUGGACCGACAUUGACGCUGAACGGCGAAAGCUAGGGGAGCAAACGGG
rnacentral:rRNA from 1 species